GGGUUUCGGGCGGCCAUGGCGAAUUUCGGCAAGAUUUUACCCCAGUGAAAAAGGCUUGUAAUCCACAGUGAUCAGCUAAGAUGUUGUUUCACUGGAUUAUUUAAUGGAUAGACUUAUUGGGCAUAUAAUUGGAUAAUUCUGUCCUCAACCUGGAAGAUAUGUAUUGUUCCUAACCAUCUAUAAUCCAUUCUCUAUGAAGUUCAGACUGUCUGCUCUUCCUUUGGAAAUACACAGUUAGUCAACCAACAUAGAAACACACAAACUUGAAGGAUUCUCUAGUGAGGGCUUAUGGAAAUGAUCUAUAUCUACUCUCAGAAUGGUGAAAGACUAUCAGAUUAAGCAAAGACUAACAGAAUAUCCUCUCUUGGAACACUGAAACAAGAAAAACAAACAGGAUGGGGGAUUUAAGAAGAACAUAGAUAAAUAUGAUUUCCAACCAAUUUAAGUACGAUCAUAGACUGUGGUUUACAGGAUGACAAAGAAAGGACCCAGGAUUGUAUCUUUUACUGUCAGACACUGAGUAUGGAUAACAUGUAGCUAUUUA